UUACAAUUUAACGUUGCGUCUUUUGUUUUCUUUUAUUUUUGAGUGUAAAUUGACAUUGCGAUAAGACGUGUCACGGUACUUGUCUAUCACAAAUUCAUGUAUUUGGUUUUGAUGUUAUAUUUGUUAUUCUCGUGGGAUUUUGUCUGAUGCUUGGUCCGUUUCUGUGUGUGUUAGUUACAUUGUAGUGUUGUGUCGUUGUUCUCCUCUUAUAUUUAUGCGUUUCCG
rnacentral:lncRNA from 1 species